rnacentral:misc_RNA from 1 species
GCCACGCCCGAAGUCAUUACCCUAACCGCAAGGAGGGGGAUGCCAAAGGCAGGGCUAGUGACUGGGGUGAAGUCGUAACAAGGUAGCCGUACCGGAAGGUGUGGCUGGAUCACCUCCUUUUAGGGAGACCUAAUCCAUUUAGAAAUCGAAAACAAUGAAAAUUGUCAAUAGAAACUAAAGUGGUCUAACCUAGGUCGUUCGAGAUUGGUAGAUAUCUUUCAAAGUAUUAUUCGGCUUCGUUCAAAACCAUAUAUAAAUGGAAAAAGACAGCACCUAAUUGUCAAAGUUAGACUGCUGGAUGAAAUUCCAGCCAGAAUCUUGAAAACUGCAUAAGAGAACGAGAAAAAGCAGGCAGACACAGACAUUUAGAUGGAUGUGAAAGCAAAAGAAAUUGUGGUCAAGCUAAUAAGGGCUAAUGGUGGAUACCUAGGCACACAGAGG